rnacentral:rRNA from 1 species
AUUGAACGCUGGCGGCAGGCCUAACACAUGCAAGUCGAACGGUAACAGGAAGCAGCUUGCUGCUUCGCUGACGAGUGGCGGACGGGUGAGUAAUGUCUGGGAAGCUGCCUGAUGGAGGGGGAUAACUACUGGAAACGGUAGCUAAUACCGCAUAAUGUCGCAAGACCAAAGAGGGGGACCUUCGGGCCUCUUGCCAUCGGAUGUGCCCAGAUGGGAUUAGCUUGUUGGUGGGGUAACGGCUCACCAAGGCGACGAUCCCUAGCUGGUCUGAGAGGAUGACCAGCCACACUGGGACUGAGACACGGUCCAGACUCCUACGGGAGGCAGCAGUGGGGAAUAUUGCACAAUGGGCGCAAGCCUGAUGCAGCCAUGCCGCGUGUAUGAAGAAGGCCUUCGGGUUGUAAAGUACUUUCAGCGGGGAGGAAGGGAGUAAAGUUAAUACCUUUGCUCAUUGACGUUACCCGAAGAAGAAGCACCGGCUAACUCCGUG